rnacentral:rRNA from 1 species
CCCAAGGGUAUGGCUGUUCGCCAUUUAAAGUGGUACGCGAGCUGGGUUUAGAACGUCGUGAGACAGUUCGGUCCCUAUCUGCCGUGGGCGCUGGAGAAUUGAGGGGGGCUGCUCCUAGUACGAGAGGACCGGAGUGGACGCAUCACUGGUGUUCGGGUUGUCAUGCCAAUGGCACUGCCCGGUAGCUAAAUGCGGAAGAGAUAAGUGCUGAAAGCAUCUAAGCACGAAACUUGCCCCGAGAUGAGUUCUCCCUGAGACUUUAAGUCUCCUGAAGGAACGUUAAAGACGAUGACGUUGAUAGGCCGGGUGUGUAAGCGCAGCGAUGCGUUGAGCUAACCGGUACUAAUGAACCGUGAGGCUUAACCUUACAACGCCGAAG